rnacentral:rRNA from 1 species
UGGGGAAUAUUGGACAAUGGGGGCAAGCCCUGAUCCAGCAAUGCCGCGUGAGUGAUGAAGGCCUUAGGGUUGUAAAGCUCUUUUGCCAGGGAAGAUGAUGACUGUACCUGGAGAAUAAGCCCCGGCUAACUUCGUG